AGUGAACGCUGGCGGUAGGCCUGACACAUGCAAGUCGAACGGCAGCACAGUAAGAGCUUGCUCUUACGGGUGGCGAGUGGCGGACGGGUGAGGAAUACAUCGGAAUCUACUUUUUCGGGGGGGAUAACGCAGGGAAACUUACGCUAAUACCGCAUACGACCUACGGGUGAAAGCAGGGGAUCUUCGGACCUUGCGCGAUUGAAUGAGCCGAUGUCGGAGUAGCUAGUUGGCGGGGUAAAGGCCCACCAAGGCGACGAUCCGUAGCGGGUCCGAGAGGAUGAUCACCCACCCUGGAACUGAGGCACGGUCCAGACUCCUACAGGAGGCCGCAGUGGGGACUCUUGGACAAUGGGCGCGAGCCUGAUCCAGCCCUACCGCGUGGGUGAAGAAGGCCUUCGGGUUGUAGAGCCCUUUUGUUGGGAAAGAAGAGCAGCAGGUUAAUCCCCCGCUGUUCUGACGGUACCCAGAGAAUAAGCACCGGCUAACUUCGUG
rnacentral:rRNA from 1 species